GAUGAACGCUGGCGGCGUGCCUAAUACAUGCAAGUCGAGCGAACAGACGAGGAGCUUGCUCCUCUGACGUUAGCGGCGGACGGGUGAGUAACACGUGGAUAACCUACCUAUAAGACUGGGAUAACUUCGGGAAACCGGAGCUAAUCCCGGAUAAUAUAUUGAACCGCAUGGGUCAAUAGUGAAAUACGGUUUUGCGGUCACUUAUAGAGGGAUCCGCGCCGCAUUAGCUAGUUGUUAAGGUAACGGCUUACCAAGGCAACGAUGCGUAGCCGACCUGAGAGGGUGAUCGGCCACAUUGGAACUGAGACACGGUCCAGAGGACUACGGGAGGGAGCAGUAGGGAAUCUUACGCAAUGGGCGAAAGCAUGACGGAGCAACGCCGCGUGAGUGAUGAAGGUCUUCGGAUCGUAAAACUCUGUUAUUAGGGAAGAACAAAUGUGUAAGUAACUAUGCACGUCUUGACGGUAACUAAUCAGAAAGCCACGGCUAACUACGUG
rnacentral:rRNA from 1 species